UACGAAGGGGGCUAGCGUUGUUCGGAAUUACUGGGCGUAAAGCGUGCGCAGGCGGCUUCUCAAGUCAGGGGUGAAAGCCCAGAGCUCAACUCUGGAAUUGCCUUUGAGACUGAGUGGCUUGAGUACGAGAGAGGUGAGUGGAAUUCCCAGUGUAGAGGUGAAAUUCGUAGAUAUUGGGAAGAACACCGGUGGCGAAGGCGGCUCACUGGCUCAUUUCUGACGCUCAGGCGCGACAGCGUGGGGAUCAAACAGG
rnacentral:rRNA from 1 species